UCGUUGGCAUUUCCUCUCUCCUUCCUUCCCAGCCUACUGCCAUGUCCCUUCAUAGGCGCUACUGGAAUUGAAUUUCCCUAAAACACAGCAUCAGGUGGUCAAAAAACUCCUCAGAUUAGACUAAAUCACAGCAAAAAUAAAAGGAUUAUCGACCGUAUCCAGACGUUGCAGGUGAAGCUAUUUGGCACCAUGGAGUCUAACCAGACUCUCCUGGUCGGACAGAACUUGCAAGGCCACCGAGGCCAGGCCAGGCCUGAACGCACAACCCUUCUAUGACAAGUGGUCAGCCAGCCUGCGAGGGACUGACUAGCGCCCAAGAUUCCACUUCUGGACAACUCUUCCUAUUGUCAAGUUUUUCCGGAAAUCCGUCUCCUACCAAUUUCUACCCAUCAUUCCCCGUUUUUUUCUUCUGGGCCCAACAGCAGGUA